CAGCUGUAAACUAUGUGCGUUAGGUGUGUCAGUGACCACGUGUCACUGAGGUGCCGAAGGGAAACCGUGAAACGCACCGCCUGGGGAGUACGGUCGCAAGGCUGAAACUUAAAGGAAUUGGCGGGGGGAGCACCACAACGGGUGGAGCCUGCGGUUUAAUCGGACUCAACGCCGGGAAUCUCACCGGGACCGACAGCAACAUGAAGGCCAAGCUGAAGACUUUGCCGGACUAGCUGAGAGGAGGUGCAUGGCGUAGUCGUGU
rnacentral:rRNA from 1 species